UUAUCUCACCUAAUUGCAUUGUAAAUGACAAACUUUUAACAUCAUAUGCUUCCAAAACUCAUUGGAAACACACUAUCUCAUUGAAAAUGCACUAUCUCAUUCUCUUCAAUUUCCAAGGAAAAAAUAACAUACAACUUCUAUCUCUGCACAUAUCUCAUACCUUCUCUCUCAAUUGAUCUUCAUUCAUCUUCUUGAAUGCUCUCUCUCUCUCUCACACAAUUUUUAUAUUAUUGUUCUCUCAUAGGCCAAACUGUUCAGUCUUCUUCCUCUGCGCAAGCUUCUCCAUUGUUAUCUCCUUCGGCUCCAGUCACUGUCGCCUCAUGUUUGAUAACAGUUUGUUUCAUCAAUGAUGACAUCAAAUUUUAUAAGGAGUGACUUGAUAUUUCAAAGGCGAAGUGUACCGCAUAUGUGAUAGGUAGCCACAAAUACCAGAAAUCUAACACUGUAAGGCUCAUGGCUGAAUGUUAUUUUUCAAUUUACUUAUAUAGAGUGUUCCGUGCAACUACAUUUCUAGAACUUUCAUUGUUUCUUUA